UGGGGAAUAGUUUAAGGGUAGAACGCCUGAUUCUGGAUCAGGCAGUUGGGGUUCGAAUCCCUGUUCCCCAGCCA
rnacentral:tRNA from 1 species